rnacentral:rRNA from 1 species
CUACGGGGCGCAGCAGUGGGGAAUAUUGCACAAUGGAGGAAACUCUGAUGCAGCAACGCCGCGCAGAGGAUGACACUUUUCGGAGCGUAAACUCCUUUUAUAUAGGAAGAAGAUGACGGUACUAUAUGAAUAAGCGCCGGCUAACUCCGUGCCAGCAGCCGCGGUAAUACGGAGGGCGCAAGCGUUACUCGGAAUCACUGGGCGUAAAGAGCGUGUAGGCGGAUUAAAAAGUCAGAAGUGAAAUCCUAUAGCUUAACUAUAGAACUGCUUCUGAAACUCUUAAUCUAGAAUAUGGGAGAGGUAGAUGGAAUUUCUGGUGUAGGGGUAAAAUCCGUAGAGAUCAGAAGGAAUACCGAUUGCGAAGGCGAUCUACUAGAACAUUAUUGACGCUGAGACGCGAAAGCGUGGGGAGCAAACAGGAUUAGAUACCCCGGUAGUC